UACGUAGGGUGCAAGCGUUGUCCGGAAUUAUUGGGCGUAAAGAGCUCGUAGGCGGCCACUCAAGUCGAAUGUGAAACCUCGAGGCUUAACCUCGAGCCUGCAUUCGAUACUGGGUGGCUAGAGUCUGGUAGGGGGAUCUGGAAUUCCUGGUGUAGCGGUGGAAUGCGCAGAUAUCAGGAGGAACACCGGUGGCGAAGGCGGGAUCCUGGGCCAGUACUGACGCUGAGGAGCGAAAGCGUGGGGAGCAAACAGG
rnacentral:rRNA from 1 species